AUGCGCGAUCAUAGCAGCACUAAAGCACCGGAUCCCAUCAGAACUCCGAAGUUAAGCUUGCUUGGGCGAGAGUAGUACUAGGAUCUGUGACCUCAUGGGAUGUCCUCGUGUUGCAUCGC
rfam:Oryza punctata chromosome 11, whole genome shotgun sequence.